CGAGUUUGAUCCUGGCUCAGAGCGAACGCUGGCGGCAGGCCUAACACAUGCAAGUCGGACGAAACCUUCGGGUUUAGUGGCGGACGGGUGAGUAACACGUGGGAACGUGCCUUUUGGUCCGGAACAACUCAGGGAAACUUGAGCUAAUACCGGAUAAGCCCUUCGGGGGAAAGAUUUAUCGCCAUUAGAGCGGCCCGCGUAGGAUUAGCUAGUUGGUGGGGUAAUGGCCCACCAAGGCUCCGAUCCUUAGCUGGUCUGAGAGGAUGAUCAGCCACACUGGGACUGAGACACGGCCCAGACUCCUACGGGAGGCAGCAGUGGGGAAUCUUGCGCAAUGGGGCGAAAGCCUGACGCAGCCAUGCCGCGUGAAUGAUGAAGGUCUUAGGAUUGUAAAAUUCUUUCACCGGGGACGAUAAUGACGGUACCCGGAGAAGAAGCCCCGGCUAACUUCGUGCCAGCCGCCGCAGUAAU
rnacentral:rRNA from 1 species